rnacentral:rRNA from 1 species
UACAGAGGGCGCGAGCGUUGUCCGGAAUCACUGGGCGUAAAGGGCGCGUAGGUGGCCACUAUAAGGCCGCGGUGAAAGUUCGGGGCUCAACCCUGAAUCUGCCGCGGCGACUGUAGGGCUUGGGCAUCGUAGAGGCAGAUGGAAUUCCGGGUGUAGCGGUGGAAUGCGUAGAGAUCCGGAAGAACACCGGUGGCGAAGGCGGUCUGCUGGGCGAUGGGAGCGCAAGCUCCUCUAGCCUGACACUGAG